rnacentral:lncRNA from 1 species
UAUCUCAUUAACUUAAACCAUUUUUAUUAAGGAUUGUAGAUCAAGAUUAACACAACAUUGGCCAACUAAGGAUGAACGAAAAGUUCAUUUGUGCUACUUGUCUAUAUCUACAUUCAUUGUCAAAGUUGAAUGCGGAACUUAAUUUGCAAAUGCACAGAAUAGGGAACUUUUACUCUUGAGAUGAACUAAUGACAUGUCUAUUGGGCUGAAGUGCUAAUCUGUCUAGAGAAUAUAUACCAAUUUACAGCAAAUACAACAACCUAAUAGAGAGGAAGAUGAUGAUCUUCUAUAGCUUAACAUGAAUGACACAUAGAGCAUACUAUUUUCUGUUUAUUCUCAACCAUGGAAGUCAUAAGAUUAAACUUGUAAUUAAUAGUCAUGUUAUUUUAUAUUUAGCUCCUUUAAUAGCCAUGUCAGCACGGGGUGUCUGCGAGACACACUUAUGCCAACAAGAGGUGUUUAUCUAGUCACUUGGAUAGUUAAAGUGUUUAACUAAACGUUGGUGCCAAGUUUAAAGGGUUAUCCAAAUAUUUGGCCUUCCUGUAUUUUCGUAACGAUUGAAGUCAGAAGAUUAAACUUAUAAUAGUCAUGAUAUUUAUAUGUCGUCUAGCAAAUUUCGAAAUUCCUAAGUUCUACCCAAAAGCACCCAAUUCCACAAUGAAAAACCUUAGAUUCUAGGAUGAAAUCUUGUAAAAAGAUGUAAUAAAUUGAAAGAAAUGAGUUAAAAAUCAUUUACCUGUGAUUUGGGGAAGAAAUAGCCCUAGGAAAAUUGCCUCUUGAAGUUUAGAUUUUGAAAAUUGGGAGAAGGAAUGAAAAAUCCCGUCUAAGUCUAAAGUUAUCAGCUGUAGAUGUCGCAUUUACGACCUGCGAGAAAGGCAUCGCAAAUGCGAACCUGUCGCAUUUCUGCUGCUAUCGCAAAUGCAAACCAUUUGGUCGCAAAUGCGAAGGUCCCUCCCCCAGACCCAAUUCGCAAAUGCGAAGGGCUGUUCGCAUUUGCGAACAUGGGCUGGCCCAGCUUCUCUUCGCAUUUGCGAUGAGAAGCUCGCGAAUGCGACCUCAUCAGUAGUCGUAAAUGCGAUCCUUGACCUUGCAUUUGCGAGGUUUGAGGCCUGGAACAAGUUCAGCUAUACCAGCAAUAAUUUCAUAGUUCCAAAUCACUCUAUAGCCUAUCCGUAACUCGCCCGAGCCCUCGGGGCUCCAAACCAAACAUGCACGCAAGUCGUAAAACAUCAUACAAACUUGCUCGUGCGAUCAAAUCGCCAAAAUAAUAUCUAAAACUACGGAUUUAACACCAAAACACAUGAAAUCCUUAAGAACACUUGAAAUUUCUAUUUCACAACCGGACAUCCGAAUCACGUCAAAUUAGUCAUGUUUCUCACCAAAUUCCACAAACAUGACUUAAGAUAUUAAACCUGUAACAGGCUCCAGAACCAAAAUACGGGCCCGAUACCAACAAGAUCAAUCAUUAUUCAAUUUCUUUAAAUCCUUAGAUUUUCAGUUUAACAAUUUUUAAUAAAAAUUCAUUACUCGGACUAGAGACCUUGGAAUUUGAUUCCGGGCAUACGCCCAAGUCCCAUAUUUACUACGGACCCUCUAGGACCGUCAAAUUACGGAUCCAGGUCCGUUCACUCAAAAUGUUGAUCAAAUCAGCUAAAAUCACUUUUAAAGGCAAAAAUUAUUAUUUUCUCAAAUUUUCACAUACAAGCUUUCCGGAAAUGCGCCCGGAGUACGCACGCAAAUCGAGAAAAAGUAAGAUGAGAUUUUGAAGGCCUCGGAACUCCGAAUUGCGUUAUAAAACACGAGAUGACCUUUUGGGUCAUCACACAGAGCCAUCCCAUUUUAAUGGGCAUACCAUACUUUGAAUACCUAUCCUUCGUCAUAAGACUCAUUCGGAAUAAUCAAGUUUAUAGGAGAUAACCCGAAAUAUAGAAAUUAGGAAUUUUGGCUGCCAUCUAUACUUGAACUUAUGGAAACACUAUGGAAUUCAAUCCUGAGAGAGAAAGUUUAGCCAACAUAACAAUCACUUCCUCCUUCAACAAACUUCAACAAAAAACUACCCAAAAUUGUUAAUUAAUCCCAUAUACCAUAAUCUAGUGUUACAUGCAUGGCCUAUUUCCAACCCCACAAUAUAUUUAUACUCUUAACCUCUUGCAUGUAAGCUUAGGAGUAGGACUUACCUGGAUAAAUGAUAAUCGAAUGGCUAGCUUCCUUGAUUCUUGAAGAUUUGAGCAAGAUUGGAUGAUUGGAAUGCUAGGUUCCCUCUUUCCCUCUCUAAGUUGCUCUUACCUCUAUCUAAAACUAUCAGAUAAACGUCCAAAAAUAAGUCUCAAAGGUUAUUUAUCAAAAUAGGGCCAGAUUAUAAAAAUGGAAAAAUAGACUCUCCGACUCAGAUCUGCGGCCGUAGAAUGGAACGCAUAACAGGUAUGCGGCCCGCAAAAUGGACCGCGAAAAUUAUGCCCAGGAACUGGCUGCACUGGACCGGUCUGCGACAGGUCUGUGGUCCACAGACCACUUAUGUGACCGCAGAAUAGCCCAACGAAAUUUCCUCAUCCUAGCCCUGCGACAGAAGUGCGGACCACGAAACAAGUAUGUGAUCGCACAAUGGACCGUGAAACAACCCUCAAAGUUCAACAAUUUCUCUGCUCGACUGUCGGAUGAUUAUGCGGCCCGCGAAACGGUUCUGCGGUCGCGAAAUGGAUCGCAAAAUUGCCUUCUUUUGUCAAUAAUUUUAAUCCACUCCUCAGUGCAUUCCUCAACCCAAAAAGUCCAUAUCGCGGCGAGCUUGCUCACCGCGAAGAUAAAUUUUACUACUUCUGAACACUUUAGUCUAACUCGACACCGCCAAAGCUUAAAUUCUAUAGCGAAAUUUUUCGAGGCCUUACAUUAGUAAACUAAAAGGAAAGCUUAAACUUAAUUCAUUUUUAAACUAAUGAAUUUCUUAUAUUUAAUUAACUUUAAUUUUACAAUCAUUUCAUAUGUUUACUUCACUAUUACUAAAAUCAUACUAGCUACAUCACAUUCCAUAAGUUUACCCACAGGCUUCAUUGUUAUCAUACAAAAGAAACAGUCAUAAUUAACAAAUAUUUGAACUAUUUUAACAUAUAAAAAUUAAAGAAUUCAAGUAGCAUAUAAAAAUUAAGGUAUUUAAUUUAAAUAGAAUAAUUAUUUAAUAUAAAGUAAAAGGAAUUCAAAUAUUUGGGAACUACAAUAUCAAUUAUGCAAAAAAAUUGACUAAUCUACAAGAAUAAUUUAAUAAUUUACCAACUAAUUUCUAACAAUUCUAACUAAUUUUCCUAGUAAUUAAGCCAUAGAAAAAUUUCCCAAAAGUUAAAACUAACCUUACUAUGAAGAAAUCUACAGCUGAACGAGGUGAAGAUGGUGGUGGUCUCUACAACCCAAAGCUUGUGGAGAUGCUGGCCGCUACAAAAAAAAGUUAGGGUUUGAUCCUUGAAUUCUGCCGCGACCAUGGAGAAUUCUAGGGUUCCGCGCAACAGAGAAGAAGAAAAGAGGAGAAAGAGCAAUCUCUUGGAGAGGGGAGAUGAUUGAAGUGUGGAGAAGCUCAUUUUCCGAUGGGCGGAGGUGGGAGGUGGGAGGCGGAGGUAAAAUGAGAGGAGGAAAAAGAAGAAAGAGAGGAAGAGAACAAAAGAGGGACGGGGUGGGGUUUU